rnacentral:rRNA from 1 species
AGAGUUUGAUCCUGGCUCAGAUUGAACGCUGGCGGCAUGCCUUACACAUGCAAGUCGAACGGUAACAGGCCGCAAGGUGCUGACGAGUGGCGAACGGGUGAGUAAUGUAUCGGAACGUGCCCAGUCGUGGGGGAUAACUGCUCGAAAGAGCAGCUAAUACCGCAUACGACCUGAGGGUGGAAGCGGGGGACCGUAAGGCCUCGCGCGAUUGGAGCGGCCGAUAUCAGAUUAGGUAGUUGGUGAGGUAAAGGCUCACCAAGCCGACGAUCUGUAGCUGGUCUGAGAGGACGACCAGCCACACUGGGACUGAGACACGGCCCAGACUCCUACGGGAGGCAGCAGUGGGGAAUUUUGGACAAUGGACGCAAGUCUGAUCCAGCCAUGCCGCGUGCGGGAAGAAGGCCUUCGGGUUGUAAACCGCUUUUGUCAGGGAAGAAAAGGCUCUUUCUAAUAAAGAGGGCUCAUGACGGUACCUGAAGAAUAAGCACCGGCUAACUACGUGCCAGCAGCCGCGGUAAUACGUAGGGUGCAAGCGUUAAUCGGAAUUACUGGGCGUAAAGCGUGCGCAGGCGGUUGUGCAAGACAGGUGUGAAAUCCCCGGGCUUAACCUGGGAACUGCACUUGUGACUGCACGGCUAGAGUACGGUAGAGGGGGAUGGAAUUCCACGUGUAGCAGUGAAAUGCGUAGAUAUGUGGAGGAACACCGAUGGCGAAGGCAAUCCCCUGGACCUGUACUGACGCUCAUGCACGAAAGCGUGGGGAGCAAACAGGAUUAGAUACCCUGGUAGUCCACGCCCUAAACGAUGUCAACUGGUUGUUGGGAGGGUUUCUUCUCAGAACGUAGCUACGCGUGAAGUGACCGCCUGGGGAGUACGGCGCAAGGUUGAAACUCAAGGAAUUGACGG